rnacentral:antisense_RNA from 1 species
CUUUUUGGCGGUAUGCAAUGGGAAGCCUUCGGGCUUGCCGGUUUCCUUUGGCGCCGGUCUGUCAACCCGUUGUAUGCCGUCGCCAUU